rnacentral:rRNA from 1 species
AACGAACGCUGGCGGCGUGCCUAACACAUGCAAGUCGAGCGCGAAAAGGGCAACCUGAGUAGAGCGGCGCACGGGUGAGUAACACGUGGGUAAUCUGCCUCGAAGCCCGGAAUAACCUUCCGAAAGGUUGGCUAAUGCCGGAUAAGCUCACGGGACCCUCGGGUCUUGUGGGAAAGUGGCCUCUGUUUACAAGCUAUCACUUCGAGAUGAGCCCGCGGCCCAUCAGCUCUUGCGGGGUAACGGCCCACAAGGCUACGACGGUAGCUGGUCUGAGAGGACGAUCAGCCACACUGGAACUGAGACACGGUCCAGACUCCUACGGGAGGCAGCAGUGGGGAAUUUUGCACAAUGGGCGCAAGCCUGAUGCAGCAACGCCGCGUGUGUGAUGAAGGUCUUCGGAUCGUAAAGCACUUUCGACCGGGACGAAACAGCGACA